UGACUUCUGCCCACCUGGACACAACACCAAAAAGGCUUCUUAUUCGGGUGUGAGUCUUUUCAGCAACCCGGUCCAGUACUGGGAGAUACAGCCAUCCACCUUCAGAUGUGUCUACGUGCGCUCUGCCAUUCAACUCGGAAACUAUAAGAAAAAAUAAAAAGAGUAUGAGUCUUCUGUAAUUCAUUGAGCAGUUAGCUCAUUUGAGAUAAAGUCAAAUGCCAAACACUAGCUCUGUAUUAAUCCCCAUCAUUACUGGUAAAGCCUCAUUUGAAUGUGUGAAUUCAAUACAGGCUAUGUAAAAUUUUUACUAAUGUCAUUAUUUUGAAAAAAUAAAUUUAAAAAUACAUUCAAAAUUA
rnacentral:lncRNA from 1 species